rnacentral:rRNA from 1 species
UUUCCGUAGUGAACCUGCGGAAGGAUCAUUAUU